GACAUAGGUGGCAAACGUUAUCCGGAAUUACUGGGCGUAAAGAGCUCGUAGGUGGUUUGUCGCGUUGUUCGUGAAAACUCACAGCUUAACUGUGGGCGUGCGGGCGAUACGGGCAGACUGGAGUACUGCAGGGGAGACUGGAAUUCCUGGUGUAGCGGUGGAAUGCGUAGAUAUCUGGAGGAACACCGGUGGCGAAGGCGGCAUUCUGGACCGAUAUUGACGCUGAGGAGCGAAAGCCAGGGGAGCAAACGGG
rnacentral:rRNA from 1 species